rnacentral:rRNA from 1 species
GAUGAACGCUAGCUACAGGCUUAACACAUGCAAGUCGAGGGGCAGCAUUAUCGAAGCUUGCUUUGAUAGAUGGCGACCGGCGCACGGGUGAGUAACGCGUAUCCAACCUUCCCCAUAGUCAGGAAUAGCCCGGCGAAAGUCGAAUUAAUGCCUGAUGUUUUCCACGGACGGCAUCCGAUGUGGAACAAAGAUUGAUCGCUAUGGGAUGGGGAUGCGUCUGAUUAGCUUGUUGGCGGGGUAACGGCCCACCAAGGCUACGAUCAGUAGGGGUUCUGAGAGGAAGGUCCCCCCACAUUGGAACUGAGACACGGUCCAAACUCCUACGGGAGGCAGCAGUGAGGAAUAUUGGUCGAUGGGCGAGAGCCUGAACCAGCCAAGUAGCGUGCAGGAUGACGGCCCUAUGGGUUGUAAACUGCUUUUAUAAGGGAAUAAAGUGGGUCUCGUGAGACUUUUUGCAUGUACCUUAUGAAUAAGGACCGGCUAAUUCCGUGCCAGCAG